AGUUCAGUGAUUUAAUUGAGAUGGAGACACAACGGCUUACGGGAGAGUGAGGCAUGCAAAGGUCAGAACCAGAAGGCAGUCGACAGGAAGGAAAUAAAUCCAAUAAGGAGCAGGCAGGACUCCAAAGUCCAGAAACAGAAACAGGCUCCAGAUACAGGUCUACAGGUAAACUCCUGAACAGAAUCAGGCUCCAGAUACAGGUCUACAGGUAAACUCCUGAACAGAAUCAGGCUCCACAUACAGGUCUACAGGUAAACUCCUGAACAGAAUCAGGCUCCACAUACAGGUCUACAGGUAAACUCCUGAACAGAAUCAGGCUCCAGAUACAGGUCUACAGGUAAACUCCUGAACAGAAUCAGGCUCCAGAUACAGGUCUACAGGUAAACUCCUGAACAGAAACAGGCUCCAGAUACAGGUCUACAGGUAAACUCCUGAACAGAAUCAGGCUCCAGAUACAGGUCUACAGGUAAACUCCUGAACAGAAACAGGCUCCAGAUACAGGUCUACAGGUAAACUCCUGAACAGAAACAGGCUCCAGAUACAGGUCUACAGGUAAACUCCUGAACAGAAUCAUCCUAGUUGAUUCGUCGUUUCUGUUAUUAAUUUAAUAAUUUAAUUCUCUAUACUCUAACAGAAAGCGGUAAUGAUUCUGAGUGUGUCAGAACAACCAGCAAGGAGAUUGAACAUUUACAAUGUUGUAGAUACGGGGCAUAGGUCAGUGCUUUAUAUAGAGGCCAAACUUUUCUUCUUCUUUUGGCACCAAAAAUGCAUAUGAAGAUAAAGCCAAACUAACUCCCAACUUCACUAAAACAAAUCCUGGCUGACUGAUUGAUACGAUGAAUGAUGGAUAAUGUUAACAGUUACUGACUACUCUCCCCCGCUCUGGUUCUGUGGCUCAUUCGGGCCCCACUCCCUGGCAGUAUUCCCCGCUGGGUUCCUCUGCUGCUACGCUAGUAAUGUGUAAACUCCCUCUGUCCUUCCGGCUCUUAGGACUGCUAACUAGCUAAUAACAGCUCGUACAGUUAGCAUAUGCAGCCAGAGAGUGAUGAUGGAAGUAGUUGAGGAUUCCCUCUCGUCUCCGUUGAGAGCUGCACAUGCUCAGUACUGAUCAGGUGAAGAGUUUACAAGCGAGCGUUUCGAUGAUCCUGGAAACAGCCGGUGGCGUUAGAGGUUUUAAGAGCGAGGCAGAUAAAACUGUCCACCUGUGACCUUUGAC